GAGAAAGGUAAUAUGCACUCUGUUGAUGCUUCAAUGUCUUCCUCAUUUCACUCCUGCAGGAGUAGGUACCACUAUCAUCAUUUCACCAACAAAAGAUGAAGGUGCCUGGAUUAUUUGAACCCAGGUACAUGUCACCUUGGGACUUAGGUUCAGAGGGUACUUGGUGAAAACUGACAAUAAUUCAACUGUAUUCCUUGCUGAAAGUGGAGAAUUUAAAGCAAUCACUGGUGUUUUCUAGAUUCCUUUCACCAAUGGUGUACAUUGUACGUAUGUAAAAUCUCUUUAAAUCCACAGCCUGAGGCAUGCUUAUGAUACUGAGUUUUCCUACAGGAAGAAAUAAAUGCACAGGUCAGGAUUAUUCAAGCAUCCUCCUUCCACUAGCUAUCAUAGAUUUCAUAGGAAAUAGAGUUGUCAUUCUCCUUUAUUCUUCAGUGUUAUGAUUUUGUUUUGAGUUUGCAUCAAUUCUAGAGAAAGGAGUCAAGACAUAGGCACUGGAAAUAAAUUUUCUGGAUCCACAGAGUUUGUAGAUCUAAAUGUGGCAAACACCCAAGAUCUUCUACUUUUCCAUGCCUUGAUAGCUACCUUUCUCUCUCAUGUCCUUUUCAUAGAAGUGGCUUAACCUAGAACCUCCAGUUUCCUCUGAAACUUUCUGGUGAAACUCCUUCAAUAAAAAACCAGAAUAGCCUGUCAUGGUUGUGAUUAUUUUAAAAUGAGAAGUAAUAUGCUGUCAAAUAUCAAGCAACACUCAGGAAGAAAUCAGUGAUUCAAAAAUUGAAAAAGAAACCAAAGCAUAGGAGGCUGAGUAACUCAAUGAAGAAGACAUGCCAAAGGAUCCACUCUGGCGAGGAGUGGACAGGAAGAAACCAUACCAGAAUAUGGCGAUGCUACUUGAAAUCAUGUGAAAGGGUGGUAGGAAAAGGGCAAAAUGUAGUGUACACCUUUGGGAGGAGUUGGAAAGCCUUCAUCAGGCAGGUGACAUCUGAAGGGCUCUUGAAAAAUAGAAAAUGGCUUUCAAAUUAGGAUAAGCAGGACGUAAUAAAGAGAGGACCUCCACCCUACAGAAGCAUUGGUCAUAGCUGCUUCACGUUGGAAACAACCAAGAUGUCAUCUCACUAAGUGCAUGGAUUAUCAAUCUGUGAUACAUCCAGACAAUGGGAUGUUAUUCAAUGAUAAAAGAAAUGGGCUAUUAAGCCAUGGAAAGUCAUGGAGGAACCUUAAAUAUAUACUACAAAAGGGGUGAUAAAAAUACAGUGAAUGUUUACUUUUUAAAAAAGUUAUUACAGUAUAUGAUGCAUUGCCAAGAAUGAUAGGAUAAAUGUGUUUGAAGGGGAAGUAUUUUGAGGGUGAUUUAAUGGCAAUGUGUCUUUUAUCAUAAUAAUUGAAGAAUUAAAUAUUCACUGUAUUUUUUUUAUCAUACUGUGUAAGUGAAAGCCAGUCUUAAAAUGCUAUAUACUAUAUGAUACCAGCUGUAUUAUAUACUGGAAAAGCCAAAAUUAUGAUCAGGGACAGUGAAAACGAUUAAUGCUUGCUGGUGGCUCAGGGGAGAUGUGCAGGAGGAAGAACUGAACGGAUGAAGGACUGUGAAUUUUUAGGGCAGUGAAAUUUUUUGACAUGAUACUAUGCAUGACAGG
ensembl:lncRNA